rnacentral:lncRNA from 1 species
CUGAGAAUACGUAGGAGCAAGGUCAAUCCUUGUCGGGCCCAAAAAACUAAAAAAUAUUUUUGUUUCUUUAUUUAGUUGUUCUUGGGAUGGUUAAACAUUUUGCAAACCACAUCUUUAUUCGCGUAUUUAAUUAAAGGUACUGCCUUCGGGCAGGCGUUGUAGGGUGCUAAUACCUUCCCUACACGUAACCGACUCCCGAACCCGAAAUUCAGUUUUCGCAGACCUUG